rnacentral:rRNA from 1 species
CGCGAAGAACCUUACCUGGUCUUGACAUCCACGGAACUUUCCAGAGAUGGAUUGGUGCCUUCGGGAACCGUGAGACAGGUGCUGCAUGGCUGUCGUCAGCUCGUGUCGUGAGAUGCUGGGUUAAGUCCCGCAACGAGCGCAACCCUUGUCCUUAGUUGCCAGCACGUAAUGGUGGGAACUCUAAGGAGACCGCCGGUGACAAACCGGAGGAAGGUGGGGAUGACGUCAAGUCAUCAUGGCCCUUACGACCAGGGCUACACACGUACUACAAUGGGAAGGACAGAGGGCUGCAAUCCCGCGAGGGGGAGCCAAUCCCAGAAACCUUCUCUCAGUCCGGAUCGGAGUCUGCAACUCGACUCCGUGAAGUCGGAAUCGCUAGUAAUCGCAGAUCAGCAUUGCUGCGGUGAAUACGUUCCCGGGCCUUGUACACACCG